rnacentral:rRNA from 1 species
UGGGGAAUAUUGCACAAUGGGCGCAAGCCUGAUGCAGCCAUGCCGCGUGUGUGAAGAAGGCCUUCGGGUUGUAAAGCACUUUCAGCGAGGAGGAAGGUGGUGAACUUAAUACGUUCAUCAAUUGACGUUACUCGCAGAAGAAGCACCGGCUAACUCCGUGCCAGCAGCCGCGGUAAUACGGAGGGUGCAAGCGUUAAUCGGAAUUACUGGGCGUAAAGCGCACGCAGGCGGUUUGUUAAGUCAGAUGUGAAAUCCCCGGGCUCAACCUGGGAACUGCAUUUGAAACAGGCAAGCUAGAGUCUCGUAGAGGGGGGUAGAAUUCCAGGUGUAGCGGUGAAAUGCGUAGAGAUCUGGAGGAAUACCGGUGGCGAAGGCGGCCCCCCUGGACGAAGACUGACGCUCAGGUGCGAAAGCGUGGGGCAGCAAACAGGAUUAGAUACCCUGGUAGUCCACGCUGUAAACGAUGUCGAUUUGGAGGUUGUGCCCUUGAGGCGUGGCUUCCGGAGCUAACGCGUUAAAUCGACCGCCU